UACGUAGGGUGCGAGCGUUGUCCGGAAUUAUUGGGCGUAAAGAGCUCGUAGGCGGUGUGUCACGUCGUUCGUGAAAACCUGCAGCUUAACUGUGGGCGUGCGGUCGAUACGGGCAUCACUGGAGUUCGGCAGGGGAGACUGGAACUCCUGGUGUAGCGGUGAAAUGCGCAGAUAUCAGGAGGAACACCGGUGGCGAAGGCGGGUCUCUGGGCCGAUACUGACGCUGAGGAGCGAAAGCGUGGGGAGCGAACAGG
rnacentral:rRNA from 1 species